rnacentral:rRNA from 1 species
AUUGAACGCUGGCGGCAUGCCUAACACAUGCAAGUCGAACGAGCGGCUGACGGGUGAGUAAUGUUUUGGAAUCUAGCUUCUGGAGGGUGAUAACUACGGGAAACUGUAGCUCAUACCGCGUACCAUAGUAUGAGCCCAAGUGGGAUUAGGGAGUAGGUGAGGGAAAGGGUCACCAAGGCGACGAUCUCUAGCUGGUCUGAGAGGAUGAACAGCCACACGGGGACUGAGACACGGCCCAGACUCCUACGGGAGGCAGCAGUGGGGAAUAUUGCGGAAUGGGGGCAAGCUGAAGGAGACAUGCCGAGUGAAUGAAGAAGGCCUUCGGGUUGUAAAGUUCUUUCGGUAGCGAGGCGUUACCUACAGAAGAAGCAACGGCUAACUCCGUGCCAGCAGCCGCGGUAAUUC